GACGAACGCUGGCGGCGUGCUUAACACAUGCAAGUCGAACGGUGAACUCCGCUUGCGGGGGGAUCAGUGGCGAACGGGUGAGUAACACGUGGGCAACCUGCCCUCAGCUCUGGGAUAACUCCAAGAAAUUGGGGCUAAUACCGGAUAUGACCGCUGACCGCAUGGUCUGGUGGCGGAAAGAUUUAUCGGCUGGGGAUGGGCCCGCGGCCUAUCAGCUUGUUGGUGGGGUAGUGGCCUACCAAGGCGACGACGGGUAGCCGGCCUGAGAGGGUGACCGGCCACACUGGGACUGAGACACGGCCCAGACUCCUACGGGAGGCAGCAGUGGGGAAUAUUGCGCAAUGGGCGAAAGCCUGACGCAGCGACGCCGCGUGGGGGAUGACGGCCUUCGGGUUGUAAACCUCUUUCAGCAGGGACGAAGCGAAAGUGACGGUACCUGCAGAAGAAGCACCGGCCAACUACGUG
rnacentral:rRNA from 1 species